rnacentral:rRNA from 1 species
CCUACGGGAGGCAGCAGUCGGGAAUAUUGCGCAAUGGAGGAAACUCUGACGCAGUGACGCCGCGUGCGGGAAGAAGGGUUUCGGAUUGUAAACUGCUUUAGGCAGGGAAGAAACAAGACAUUACCGGUAAAGUAAGCUCCGGCUACCUACGUGCCAGCAGCCGCGGUAAUACGUAGGGAGCAAGCGUUAUCCGGAUUUAUUGGGGGUAAGGGGUGCGUAGACGGUAAGUCAAGUUGGUAGUGAAAUCCCUCGGCUUAACUGAGGAACUGCAACCAAAACUAACUGUCUUGAGUGCUGGAGAGGAAAGUGGAAUUCCUAGUGUAGCGGUGAAAUGCGUAGAUAUUAGGAGGAACACCAGUGGCGAAGGCGACUUUCUGGACAGUAACUGACGUUGAGGCACGAAGGUGUGGGGAGCAAACAGGAUUAGAUACCCUUGUAGUC